CCUACGGGAGGCAGCAGUGAGGAAUAUUGGUCAAUGGACGAGAGUCUGAACCAGCCAAGUAGCGUGAAGGAUGACUGCCCUAUGGGUUGUAAACUUCUUUUAUAUGGGAAUAAAACGUUCCACGUGUGGGAUUUUGUCUGUACCAUAUGAAUAAGGAUCGGCUAACUCCGUGCCAGCAGCCGCGGUAAUACGGAGGAUCCGAGCGUUAUCCGGAUUUAUUGGGUGUAGAGGGAGCGUAGGUGGAUUGUUAAGUCAGUUGUGAAAGUUUGCGGCUCAACCGUAAAAUUGCAGUUGAAACUGGCAGUCUUGAGUACAGUAGAGGUGGGCGGAAUUCGUGGUGUAGCGGUGAAAUGCUUAGAUAUCACGAAGAACUCCGAUUGCGAAGGCAGCUUACUAAACUGCCACUGACAUUGAUGCUCGAAAGUGUGGGUAGCAAACAGGAUUAGAUACCCGAGUAGUC
rnacentral:rRNA from 1 species